CCCCGGCUUCCGCCGCCGCUACGGCGAGUUCCACCGGAGGGCGCCCCUGCUGGGAUUGCUCCACAACGACGACGUCCUCUCUGAUCAACCCAUCGGCCAGUCCAGAUUUGUACCCACCACGGCCUUCUCCACAGGUUCCAUUGGCGGCGCACGUUCGCCUGCCUCUGCUCGUCGGAGGCAGGCACCUGGAGCCACUUCAGCUGCUUUGAGCACCCGGGCAUUGUAGUCGUUGGCCGGAGCCGGGCCAGCGUCGUUUUGGGGAAUGCAAUAUAGGUUCUGGAAUCAUGCAGUACAAUGUGGCCGAGCUGGAGCUGUCAUGGAUCAACGCGCCUUCUGAAUUACCCAAACGCAGUGACUUUUGCCUUGUCAAGACAGAAGAUGGCAACCUGGGGUUUGUCAGCUACGACGCCGGUGGCUGUAUGUACAUGUGGAAAAGGGUAUUUGAUGCCAACGGAGCUGGGGAAUGGGCUCAACGCAGUGCCAUCGGUGAGCUGCUCCCUACUCGUGCCCUACCACCUUACAGCCGAUUCAGAGUGAUGGGCUUCAUGGACGGUGCCAGAGUCGUUCUGUUCAGAACAUGCUCUGAGUUGCUUAUGAUUGAUCUCAGAUUGCAUCGAGUCAGGAAGGUAAGCAUCGAGGGGUGCGAAGUUGAUAUGGUUAUUCCCUACACGAGCUUUUACACUCCACGUACUAGCCUAGAGCGGGCGCAGCAGCUUUUCCAAAAGGGCUCCAAGGCCAUGGUGGAAUGAGACUUCGUCGACGCCGUACGCUGCCUCGGCCGUGCCCGUGACAUCAGGUCAAAACUCAAAUAGCAAAUAUCAGGAGGAUGGGAACCAUGACAGUGACAAAGAUGAUGGCAUGGUAGGAGAUGAAGAUUAUUCUGAUUUGGAUCUGGCAUGGAAAAUGCUGUAGAAUGCAAGGGCAAUAGUUGAGAAGAGCCCAAACCACACUAUGCAGAAGGUUAAGAUCUUCUCUGCUCUGGCUGCAGUCCAUGGAAAGAGGCAGUCUCAAUUAUCUUAAACUAUAGUUACUGUCCUUAAUUUAGUUGAUUAUAAUGGUCUUGAUACUCAUGGCCCCACAUCUGGUUUGCGGAAGACAUAGACAACUCACUCGAUGACUAUUUCAAAGCUUUAGCCAUCUUGGAUAAUUUGCUUGAGCCAGAUAAUUGUCAGAUUGUUACACUAAACUGAAGGAUGUGUUCUGUCUCUGAACUGGCAUUCAAGAUUGGUGAUGCGAUUCCAUAUUGUGCAAAGGCUUUUUCAUUAUACAAAAGUGAGUUACAUGCCACAAAAAGUAUGUCAUUGGAUGCACAUUUCGAAGAACUUUCCGAUGAUAUAUUUUUUAUGACAUAUAAUUCCUAUUUUAUUGACAACAAUUAUAAGUCAAAGUUUGACACGAAAAACGAAGUGGCCAUGUAUAAGGGAAUGGAGGGAGUAUGCUAAAUCUGAGAAAGGCCAAGGGUGAUAAUGGUGAUAAUGCAUCUUCUGCUAAAGGAGGUUCAGGGAAAUCUGCUUUAAAAGAUGUGAUGGAGUUGCUUACCGACAUAUUAACUGAACUUGAGAUGAAGGUAAAUGGUAUUGAUUUUGUUCAUGUUAUUGUUACCGACUUGGUUUCAGCUGGAAGACCUGGAGCAAGAAAUGCCAACACCAAGCUCUUUUACAAGUGAGGUUUUGAUUGCCUCAAAGGCAAGUGGAGGCCAGAGCGCUGGCAAUUUCAAGUCAAGAGCUGCAUCUUCUCCAACUAAAUCUUACCGCAGCAGCAACUGCAAGUACUAGGUGGCUGAAAGACGUCACCGUCGAGCCCUAUCUGGUGCGUAUUUUGGAGAUCUCUGAUCUUGUGUCAAGUAUGAAGGUUAUGAAGUUAAGGAUGGUGCUUUGGUCAGAGAGUGAGGCUAUACUUGGGAACAUGUUGACAUGAUGCUUCAGAAGUAUCCUGAACUCUUUCAAACAGAAAAUGGAUCGAGAGAAGCUCAUGAGACCAAGUUUCGUCUACCCCUAAUAAAUCAGAAAGGGUCAUGGCCUGAAGGUUGUCAACGGGAUCUUCAGAUGCUCUGUUUAUCCUUUUUGCCCUGGUUUACUUACUGCACAUGGGCAUGUACUUCUGUUGGGAUCGUGGAUGCUGAUUUCACUGAACUGUUUGUUUCGUAGUUUCAAGUAUGGAAGUGUGAACUAUA